AUUGAACGCUGGCGGCAGGCCUAACACAUGCAAGUCGAGCGGCUGAAGGGUGCUAGCUCCUUGUUUCAGGUGCGGACGGGCGAAUAAUGGCUAGGAACCUGCCUGGCUGCGGGUGCUAACGUCCGGACGCGGGCACUCAUACGCCAUUCGUCCUUACGGCGUACGUGGGAGAUCUUCGGACCUCCCGCCCUCGGAUGAUCCUAGGUCGGAUUAGCUAGUUGGUGGGGUAAAGGCCUACCAAGGCGACGAUCCGUAGCUGGUCUGAGAGGAUGAUCAGUCACACUGGAACUGAGACACGGUCCAGACUCCUACGGGAGGCAGCAGUGGGGAAUAUUGGACAAUGGGCGAAAGCCUGAUCCAGCCAUGCCGCGUGGGUGAAGAAGGUCUUCGGAUUGUAAAGCACUUUUGGUUGGGAGGAAGGGCAGUAAGUUAAUACCUUGCUGUUUUGACGGUACCAAAAGAAUAAGCACCGGCUAACUUCGUG
rnacentral:rRNA from 1 species